rnacentral:rRNA from 1 species
AUUGAACGCUGGCGGCAGGCCUAACACAUGCAAGUCGAACGAGUGGCGGACGGGUGAGUCACGUCUGGGAAACUGCCUGAUGGAGGGGGAAAACUACUGGAAACGGUCGCUAAUACCGCAUACCAGCAGCUGUGCCCAGAUGGGAUUAGCUUGUUGGUGGGGUAACGGCUUACCAAGGCGACGAUCCCUAGCUGGUCUGAGAGGAUGACCAGCCACACUGGAACUGAGACACGGUCCAGACUCCUACGGGAGGCAGCAGUAGGGAAUAUUGCACAAUGGGCGCAAGCCUGAUGCAGCCACGCCGCGUGUGUGAAGAAGGCCUUCGGGUUGUAAAGUUCUUUCAGCAGGGAGGCGUUACCCGCAGAGGAAGCACCGGCUAACUCCGUGCCAGCAGCCGCGGUAAUAC